GAUGAAGAACGCAGUGAAAUGCGAUAAGUAGUGUGAAUUGCAGAAUUCAGUGAAUCAUCGAAUCUUUGAACGCACAUUGCGCCCUUUGGUAUUCCUUAGGGCAUGCCUGUUCGAGCGUCAUUUAAACCUUCAAGCUAAGCUUGGUGUUGGGUGACUGUCCGCUUCACGGCGGACUCGCCUCAAAAUUAUUGGCGGCCGGUACAUUGGCUUCGAGCGCAGCAGAAACGCGAACUCGGGCCCGUCGUAUUGGCUCCCAGAAGCUAUCUUCACAAUUUUGACCUCGGAUCAGGUAGGGAUACCCGCUGAGCUUAAGCAUAUCAAUAAGCGGAGGA
rnacentral:misc_RNA from 1 species